GCCCCGGUCGUCUAGCGGCCUAGGACGUCGCCCUCUCACGGCGGUAGCGUGGGUUCAAAUCCCAUCCGGGGUACAA
rnacentral:tRNA from 3 species